AUACGUAGGUGGCAAGCGUUGUCCGGAUUUAUUGGGUUUAGAGGGUGCGUAGGCGGCCCUAUAAGUCAGUGCUGAAAUAUCCCGGCUUAACCGGGAGGGUGGCAUUGAUACUGUAGGGCUUGAGUAAAGUUGAGGUUGGCGGAAUUGACGGUGUAGCGGUGAAAUGCUUAGAUAUCGUCAAGAACACCGAUUGCGAAGGCAGCUAACUAAGCUUUAACUGACGCUGAGGCACGAAAGUGUGGGGAUCAAACAGGA
rnacentral:rRNA from 1 species